CAGCAAUGGAGUCCCCGCCAUAUGGGUUUCUCUCUUCUGCAUUGCCAGCUUCUUCCUUGGUGUUCUUGUUGUCAACAGGAUGGCGCAGCUGUAACCGGUCUUGGUACUCCACGAGAACUUGGAUCAAGAGACCUUUCCAACUUUCUGUCGUCUUUGAGUCACACCUCAGUACAACAUAAACCUGAUGUUUAUGCCCAAACAAAUAUCUAUGACGAGCAUCAGCGGUCACAAUGGGCAUGGUGUGUGUGUGUGUGUUGUGUUGUGUUGAAUAACCGAAAAAGGAUGACUCUGAAGUGACUUUGAAUGUAAACAUUCAUAUUUUCAUUUUUUUUUAAAUUUUUGGAGGAAGAAAAAAAAAAA